rnacentral:rRNA from 1 species
UGGGGAAUUUUGGACAAUGGGCGAAAGCCUGAUCCAGCAAUGCCGCGUGUGUGAAGAAGGCCUUCGGGUUGUAAAGCACUUUUGUCCGGAAAGAAAUCCUCUGGGUUAAUACCUCGGGGGGAUGACGGUACCGGAAGAAUAAGCACCGGCUAACUACGUGCCAGCAGCCGCGGUAAUACGUAGGGUGCAAGCGUUGAUCGGAAUUACUGGGCGUAAAGCGUGCGCAGGCGGUUUUGUAAGACGGAUGUGAAAUCCCCGGGCUUAACCUGGGAACUGCAUUCGUGACUGCAAGGCUAGAGUAUGGCAGAGGGGGGUAGAAUUCCACGUGUAGCAGUGAAAUGCGUAGAGAUGUGGAGGAAUACCGAUGGCGAAGGCAGCCCCCUGGGCCAAUACUGACGCUCAUGCACGAAAGCGUGGGGAGCAAACA